CAAAGUACAGUGCCCGAUUGUCAACCGGCAACGGGCAAAAAAUAAACCGAAAAAAAUCGGAAAAAGAAGGCCAAAAGACAAGCGUCCAAACAACCAACCAGUUUCUUCUGGGGCUGAAGGAGCAGACGGAGCUGAGCAGUCUUCGGUGCAGAUUAGUCACAUGUCAGUUUCAAUUAUCGUCGAGUCAAUUUGUUGAAAGGCCGCAAACGCAGCAGCCAAAGCAGCUAAAAAGCAGCCAAAGGCCCAAACCCCGGGCCAAUGCAAAAGAGAUCCAGAUCGGUACCAAGUCGCCAAGUCAAUCGAUACCGCAUUGGCCAGAUUUCGCUUGAAAUAUUCCAACUGCGAUGCAUGUGGAGUCUCUCCAGCCAGGAGUCGUCAGAAUGGGAAUCAGGCGAGAGAGUCCACAUAGAGAAAAAACUAUCUAAGCCGAAGCAAAUUUCCAUACAAACAAAUAUUUAAAGCGGUUUUAAUGAGUCAUUUAAAGUAUUAUGUACUUGGCCCCACGUUGGGCGCUAGUUUCUGUGAACGCAAAGGACUUUUCUAUCCGUAUUAAGCUUGAGCAAUCUACAGAUGUGUAGCGACUCAGAAUCGGAGCCACCAAGCGCGUCUGAUUAUCGGCAGGACAACGACAACUGCGAACUGCAAAGACGACGACGAUGAGACGGCAUAGGGCAUAACUCAGAUGCUCUGCUAUGAUAAUUUCCAAUAAGACCCGACGCCGCUCUCCACUGCGAUCUGCCGGGAUCUCCAGUCUUCAGUGCGCUGAUCUGCUCUGGAAAUUGAUGAUGCCGAGUAUGUUUGGAGUCAGCUUGUUUACACAAUUCAGCGCACAUUGAGGUCGGAUACCGGCAUGGUGUCGUGUAGCCAAAGCUCGAAAGGAAUUUGUUUGGCCGCUUCCAUCAAAGAGGCGCCGAACUGAAAUCAAGAUCAAGAUUGAUAUCGGGCUUCUCUGCCGUAUUUCUCUGUUUUUAUUUUAUAUAUCCCUGGUGGUCACAACAAAUCGAUGAAAUUCCUAGACAAAUGUUUGGGUUGCAU
ensembl:ncRNA lncRNA:CR44309 long non-coding RNA:CR44309